rnacentral:miRNA from 1 species
AUUGUUCUGUCCGGUUGCU